GACGAACGCUGGCGGCGUGCCUAAUACAUGCAAGUCGAACGAACUCUGGUAUUGAUUGGUGCUUGCAUCAUGAUUUACAUUUGAGUGAGUGGCGAACUGGUGAGUAACACGUGGGAAACCUGCCCAGAAGCGGGGGAUAACACCUGGAAACAGAUGCUAAUACCGCAUAACAACUUGGACCGCAUGGUCCGAGUUUGAAAGAUGGCUUCGGCUAUCACUUUUGGAUGGUCCCGCGGCGUAUUAGCUAGAUGGUGGGGUAACGGCUCACCAUGGCAAUGAUACGUAGCCGACCUGAGAGGGUAAUCGGCCACAUUGGGACUGAGACACGGCCCAAACUCCUACGGGAGGCAGCAGUAGGGAAUCUUCCACAAUGGACGAAAGUCUGAUGGAGCAACGCCGCGUGAGUGAAGAAGGGUUUCGGCUCGUAAAACUCUGUUGUUAAAGAAGAACAUAUCUGAGAGUAACUGUUCAGGUAUUGACGGUAUUUAACCAGAAAGCCACGGCUAACUACGUGCCAGCAGCCGCGGUAAUACGUAGGUGGCAAGCGUUGUCCGGAUUUAUUGGGCGUAAAGCGAGCGCAGGCGGUUUUUUAAGUCUGAUGUGAAAGCCUUCGGCUCAACCGAAGAAGUGCAUCGGAAACUGGGAAACUUGAGUGCAGAAGAGGACAGUGGAACUCCAUGUGUAGCGGUGAAAUGCGUAGAUAUAUGGAAGAACACCAGUGGCGAAGGCGGCUGUCUGGUCUGUAACUGACGCUGAGGCUCGAAAGUAUGGGUAGCAAACAGGAUUAGAUACCCUGGUAGUCCAUACCGUAAACGAUGAAUGCUAAGUGUUGGAGGGUUUCCGCCCUUCAGUGCUGCAGCCAACGCAUUAAGCAUUCCGCCUGGGGAGUACGGCCGCAAGGCUGAAACUCAAAGGAAUUGACGGGGGCCCGCACAAGCGGUGGAGCAUGUGGUUUAAUUCGAAGCUACGCGAAGAACCUUACCAGGUCUUGACAUACUAUGCAAAUCUAAGAGAUUAGACGUUCCCUUCGGGGACAUGGAUACAGGUGGUGCAUGGUUGUCGUCAGCUCGUGUCGUGAGAUGUUGGGUUAAGUCCCGCAACGAGCGCAACCCUUAUUAUCAGUUGCCAGCAUUAAGUUGGGCACUCUGGUGAGACUGCCGGUGACAAACCGGAGGAAGGUGGGGAUGACGUCAAAUCAUCAUGCCCCUUAUGACCUGGGCUACACACGUGCUACAAUGGAUGGUACAACGAGUUGCGAACUCGCGAGAGUAAGCUAAUCUCUUAAAGCCAUUCUCAGUUCGGAUUGUAGGCUGCAACUCGCCUACAUGAAGUCGGAAUCGCUAGUAAUCGCGGAUCAGCAUGCCGCGGUGAAUACGUUCCCGGGUCUUGUACACACCGCCCGUCACACCAUGAGAGUUUGUAACACCCAAAGUCGGUGGGGUAACCUUUUAGGAACCAGCCGCCUAAGGUGGGACAGAUGAUUAGGGUG
rnacentral:rRNA from 2 species